UACGACUACAUAUCAGGCAUAUCAAUAAGCGGAGGAAAAGAAACUAACAAGGAUUCCCUCAGUAACGGCGAGUGAAGCGGGAAGAGCUCAAAUUUGAAAUCUUCAAGGUUCUACCUUGACGAAUUGUAGUUUAAAGAAGUGUUUUCUGUUAGAUGAGUAGCAAAAGUUCCUUGGAAUGGGACAUCAUAGAGGGUGAGAAUCCCGUAUUUGGUUAUUCAUUCUAGCUUUGUGAUACACUUUCAAAGAGUCGGAUUGUUUGGGAAUGCAGUCCAAAAUGGGUGGUAAAUUUCAUCUAAAGCUAAAUAUUGGCGAGAGACCGAUAGCGAACAAGUACCGUGAGGGAAAGAUGAAAAGAACUUUGAAAAGAGAGUUAAACAGUACGUGAAAUUGUCAAAAGGGAAGCGUUUGACACCAGUGUUGUUUUUCCGAAAAUCAAUUACGAAUGGCUUGAUUUUGUGUUGUAUUGACCUUAUCAGCUUUCUGCACUUUUUUCGAGUCUUUCUUAAUGCACUUUUCGGUUAACAAGUCAACAUCAAUUUCUUUUGUUGUAAAAGAGUAUUCGGAAGGUGGCUUUCUUUUCGGAGAAAGUGUUUAUAGCCCUAUACUUCUACAAUCGGAGAGAUUGAGGUCUGCAGCGUAGAUCCUUCGGGGUUAGAUACACUUGGUGCUAAGUUGUAGCUUUUCAUAGACAACUUGUUGACUAUGUUUAGUCAUGCGGCUUACUCGCUUGUGCUAUUUUACCUACGCUUAGGAUGUUGAGUAGCGACAUACGCAC
rnacentral:rRNA from 1 species